UUAUUGUUAUUAGAAUGACGGUGUAGUUUUGGAAAUCUUAGAAGCUACCAGUUUUUUCGUUUCUGAUGAUAAUUUAUGUAUCAUUUAACUACCUUGGUGGUCUUUAUGUGCUUCCCGUUGUAUGCUUAACAUGAAAAUUGUUUGGUAAAAUUAGUCCGGUUGUUAAUCAUUCGGCCAUUGAACCCGGUGGAUUUCGUCACAGUGCAAACAAUGUUCGCCAUCAUACAACCAGUUUGUCCUGUGCAUUCCUCGAGAAAGUGCCUCUAGUCAGAAAAAAAUCGGUCACAAAAUAGACAAAUACUUGAAUCCCUUGAACAUGUAAGAGCUUUUCAAAAAUGGAAACGACCGAGAAAAGUCCUGUUUUAAUGCCAACGAGUCAAGUUGCUGCGUAUAAAAUCUAUCGGACGUAGUAGGGCGUGGCUAUUGAAACAGUCUUUGUUUAAUUGCCCGGGAAGGUCUAUAGAAAAGGCUAGACUAGCAGUAAUCAUCGAUAACAUUGUGCUUAGUGCAGACGUUUGUUUGAUAUUCUAAAAAAGAGUUUAAAAGAUGAAAACAUUCUCUUCCCUUGUUCUUGUGACAGUUUCCAUUGGAUUUCGACUUUUGUCUCCACAUGGGCGUAAUCAACAACGUCAUCAGUCUGGCAACUAUCCAUCUGCAUAUUACAGGGCAGGACGAGACCAGUUUGAGCAAGAUUUAGCGGCUUCAAAACAAGAUAUUAUGGAAUAAUUCACCAACGUUUUGAAUUUACUAAAAAUUGUAGUGUUUGCUUUGUAUCUGAAUUGCACAGGCUUCUUAUGUUGCUUCUUAACGGA